UUCCAUAAAAUCGAGCACAAGCUUCAGCUUCAAGCUUCUUUCCUGUCUGAAUCUCUAGGUUUUGCAUGGACGCUGUAGCCUGAAUCACAGGCGGAUGAUCUCGAUUAUAUGAUUCUCGAUCUCACACGCUUUCUGGUCCACGAUCUCGACUACAUCCGAGUUGCCUUCGAGUUUAACAGAAUUGGACCUGACGGAAAAUCGACUUUAGAGUUUUGAUUUUCGGAUUAGAGAGGUCUAGAACCUGAAGAAGCUCUCUCUUCGUCAGAACCUGAAGAAGCUCUCUCUUCGUCAGAACCUCAUCAAUGAUGCUACGGCUGAAUCGAUUUCUUGCUGGAGCGCACUGUCAGGUCUCGAGUGUGAGUCCUAAAGCGGUUCUCGGAUUAGAGAGGUCUGGAACCUGAAGAAGCUCUCUCUUCGUCAGAACCUCAUCAGUGAUGCUACCGGCUGAAUCGCUUUCUCGCUGGAGCGCACUUGUCAGGUCUCGAGUGUGAGUCCUAAAGCGAUUCUCGGAUUAGAGAGGUUUAGAACCUGAAGAAGCUCUCUCUUCGUCAAAACCUCAUCAAUGAUGCUACCGGCUGAAUCGCUUUCUCGCUGGAGCGCACAUGUCAGGUCUCGAGGAAUUUUAUGUAUCUAUGAAUGAAGUUGCUGAAAUGGAAGAGCUAGAUCAUUUUCAACAGUUGCGGAUUCUUGAGCUUGGUUCCACUAGACCGCAGUAUUGUGUUGCUUCGGAAGGACACUAUCUAAGCCAAAAUGGAGUUUCAGAACUUGAAGGCAUUUCAACCUUGGUCAAUCUUCCUAUAUUGAAUGUUUCAUUAAAUAAGCUAAUGAAUGCGAAUGACAUUCAAAAUCUGACAUGGUUUCAUGAAUUUCGUAUCUCCCAUCAUAUGCAACAUGGUUAUGGUUUCCAGGGUGAUAAUCUGGUUACUUCGUUGGAUUGACGUUUGUCGUCUAGAAGAUUUAGGCUUAAAGACAGCCAAAUAGAACCACUUGAAAGCAUUGCUGAGGAUGUUGCUGGUUCAAGAGAGGAACUGACAACCAUCUACCUCAAGAACAGUAAGUUUCCAUACUGAAUAACUUUUAUGACUAGAAAAUUUUCUUCUGAUCUCUUGGUGCUUCACUAGUGCUAGUUUCUGGAUUUCUGCAUGCUCCAUAUCAGCUCUAAAUUCUACGGGGAAAUGUAUAGGUCUCAUUUUAUAACUUUUUAACUUCUUAAUUUUCACUUUCCAAAUAAAUCGUUCUCAAAAGUUAAAAUUUGAAGAACAAUUUGUGCGUUAUUGUUGCUUUGAAUCUUCAUUGCACAUUUUAACUCUGCGUGUUAUUCAGGAUAAAAAGAUAACAAUAAUAGAAAUAAAUAAUGUACGACUUUCAAGCUGCAAUUUUGAAGUAAAAUAAUUCCUUCUCUCGUGGAUUAAGUGACCUGAACAAGUUUUUCCCCUUAUUGAUCAACCUUGCCUAGCUUUUCUGUGGUUUCUAAUUGUUUGAUUUGGCAGCAGCUUCUCGUCUACAGCCAUAAUGUACAAGUAACGUGCCCACUCUCCAUUCUUUUACUGAUUUAGUUUAUUUUAUUCUUGCAAUGAAUGUUUUAAAACCUUCUGUUAGUUGUGUUUGCUAAAAUGUCUUACUCAAACUAAAAAAAUAUUUAGGUAAUUAUUUAUUGAAACCAAUUACAUUUGUUAAGGCUAUUUCGUGGGAUUUAGUUGCUGUGUGUUUUGCCUCUAAUUUAUGUCGUUUUUUUUUUUACUAUUUUGCUCCAAAUAUUUAUAUGAGUUCAAUUUUUCUCCUCAAAUGUGUUUUGAUUUUUUUUUUUUUUGUUUAAAUUUUAACUGAAACUGUAUUUCAAUUAUUUAAUUCUUUUGAUUCUUAUGCAUUGUUGUUUUUUCCGAGUGGGACAGCAGAAAAUGUCAUUUUUGUCCCUGGCAAAACCAAGGGCAUAGACGUGAAAAUGCUACCUUUGCGUCUUGAUCAGGUGAGUGUCGUUGAAUAUUGUACGUUAAUCAACUGUCUCUCCAAACCAGACCCAAAAUUUCAAAAUCUCUGGAGUAUUUGAAGCUACAUCAGGUAACAUGAGUUUUAAAAACUUUAUGUUAAGGAUACGGAUCGGAAUACUUUUUCUAUGCUAAAUUCAUUGACCAAGUGUUCUUAUAUUAAAUAUAUAAAGAUUUUCCCUAUGGUUUUCUUGUUUUAUAAUCUACUUUUUUUUUUUACAAAUUUAUUUUCUUCUUCACCCUUAUUUUAUUUCUUGUUUUUGUUUUGUUUUUUAAACAAGCAUUUUAGCCGCCCAUUCGAUUUUUGUACUAAAAAAUUAAACUAUAAAUUUUUUUCAUGACAUUUUUUUUUCUUCACCCUUUCUCGUUUUUGUUUUGUUUUUUGAACAGCAUUUUAGCCACCCGUUCGAUUUUGGUAUUAAAAAAUUGAACAUAAAUUUUUUUCAUAACAAAUUCACCUCCACCCACUCGUCCUUUUGAAGAAAUUUUACAAAAUUUGAUAGAAUAGGGGUAUUUUAAAAGGUGUUAUGAACAUUCUUUCAUAAAUAUGAUAUAAUUUUGGAUUAUGCCAUUUUUUAAAUAUUUUAAAAAGCAUACUUAUAUGACUACCAUUUUUGGUGCUAAUAUGUUCCUCCUUUUUCAAUCCCUCUUCAAUCUCUUGAAGGUCUCUCUUUCUAAAUGUUAUUUCUCUAAUAUUUUUGGCCUUCCGUCUUUUAAAGAGAAAACUAAGGAAGAAGAACUUAUAUUUUUGUUUAUGAUUUUCCUAUUCUUUCAUUUUUAGUUUCCUUUUUUUUAUAAAAGAAAAGUAAUUUCUUAGCAUGAAAGAAUAAACAAUAAUGUUAAUUUAUUUUUAAUCUUUUAAAAAUGUCAUUUCUUUUAAAGAGAACUAAGGAAUAAGAACUUGCUUAUAUUUUUUGUUUAUGAUUUUCCUUUUCUUUCAUUUAAAGUUUCCUUUUUUGAUUA